GACGAACGCUGGCGGCGUGCCUAAUACAUGCAAGUCGAGCGAAUCUUUGGGAGCUUGCUCCCUAAGGUUAGCGGCGGACGGGUGAGUAACACGUGGGCAACCUGCCUAUAAGACUGGGAUAACUUCGGGAAACCGGAGCUAAUACUGGAUAAUUCCUUUCCUCUCAUGAGGGAAGGCUGAAAGACGGUUUCGGCUGUCACUUAUAGAUGGGCCCGCGGCGCAUUAGCUGGUUGGUGAGGUAACGGCUCACCAAGGCGACGAUGCGUAGCCGACCUGAGAGGGUGAUCGGCCACACUGGGACUGAGACACGGCCCAGACUCCUACGGGAGGCAGCAGUAGGGAAUCUUCCGCAAUGGACGAAAGUCUGACGGAGCAACGCCGCGUGAGUGAUGAAGGUUUUCGGAUCGUAAAACUCUGUUGUUAGGGAAGAACAAGUACGAGAGUAACUGCUCGUACCUUGACGGUACCUAACCAGAAAGCCACGGCUAACUACGUGCCAGCAGCCGCCGUAACAC
rnacentral:rRNA from 1 species